UGGUCAAGUUAUUAAGGGUGCAGGGCGGAUGCCUUGGCACUAGGAGCCGAUGAAGGACGUGAUAAGCUGCGAUAAGCUUCGGGGAGUUGCACGUAAACUUUGAUCCGAAGAUUUCCGAAUGAGGAAACUCACUUAGAGUAAUGUCUAAGUAUCAUUAAGUGAAUACAUAGCUUAAUGAGGGGAACUCAGGGAACUGAAACAUCUAAGUACCUGAAGGAAGAGAAAGAAAUUCGAUUCCGUAAG
rnacentral:rRNA from 1 species